rnacentral:rRNA from 1 species
GACGAACGCUGGCGGCGUGCUUAACACAUGCAAGUCGAACGGAAAGGCCCUGCUUUUGUGGGGUGCUCGAGUGGCGAACGGGUGAGUAACACGUGAGUAACCUGCCCUUGACUUUGGGAUAACUUCAGGAAACUGGGGCUAAUACCGGAUAGGAGCUCCUGCUGCAUGGUGGGGGUUGGAAAGUUUCGGCGGUUGGGGAUGGACUCGCGGCUUAUCAGCUUGUUGGUGGGGUAGUGGCUUACCAAGGCUUUGACGGGUAGCCGGCCUGAGAGGGUGACCGGCCACAUUGGGACUGAGAUACGGCCCAGACUCCUACGGGAGGCAGCAGUGGGGAAUAUUGCACAAUGGGGGGAAGCCUGAUGCAGCAACGCCGCGUGCGGGAUGAAGGCCUUCGGGUUGUAAACCGCUUUCGCCUGUGACGAAGCGUGAGUGACGGUAAUGGGUAAAGAAGCACCGGCUAACUACGUG